rnacentral:rRNA from 1 species
UGCCAGCAGCCGCGGUAAUACGUAGGGUGCAAGCGUUAAUCGGAAUUACUGGGCGUAAAGCGUGUGUAGGCGGUUCGGAAAGAAAGAUGUGAAAUCCCCGGGCUUAACCUGGGAACUGCGUUUGAAACUACAAGGCUAGAGUGUGGCAGAGGGGGGUGGAAUUCCGCGUGUAGCAGUGAAAUGCGUAGAGAUGUGGAGGAACACCGAUGGCGAAGGCAGCCCCCUGGGUCAACACUGACGCUCAGGCACGAAGGCAUGGGGAGCAAACAGGAUUAGAUA